GCGUUUGUAGUCCAACGGUUAGGAUAAUUGCCUUCCAAGCAAUAGACCCGGGUUCGACUCCCGCGCUAUCGUC
rnacentral:tRNA from 1 species